rnacentral:lncRNA from 7 species
GGACUCGUGCUCUGCUGUUUCUCUGUCCCCUGUUAAGAAAUGAGCUUUUCUGCCACUCUUUAUAUAAAUACCUGCUGCAAGCUUCCAGUGUACCUAGGGGCCUGACAGAUCCCUGUACAUCAGGGGAGAGAGACAGUUUAUGGGCUGCUGUACUAGAGAAAAAGCUUAUAAUUGUGUGCCUCUGUACAUAACAGCAAAGCUCCAGCUCAGAUGUGACCACACAUAUGUAUGCAUACUUCACACUCAGAAGUCCCCCAGCUGAGUUAUGCCCCUUCGUCACGGAAUUCACACCCCACCCCCUCCACUGACGCAAACUUCAGAGAGCAGCUCCAUGGAGGAUAACCUAAGUGCUGCCUGCAGAGCUAAGUAUGCAACUGAGUCCUCUAAGAGUGAUGACCAAUCAGAUGAAAGCCUGUCCCGAUGUAUCCUGAGGCAUUUGUUCAGGUCUUGCCCUGGACUGAUGCAGGCAGCCACUUCCUAUGGCCCUGCUAUGGUUGGACAACACGUAUGGAAAUGGAAGGUGCUUUCCUAAUCUGACACUACUCUGAAAAAGAAUUACAAGAACUACUAUUUCAAUCAAAAAAAUGUUUGACCUUGCUUAUAUGGACUUGGAUCAAAAUGACAGUGUAAAGAACAAUAUAUUCAGUUGCUCAGCAAAGCCCAUAGAAUUCUGCAUACUGCUUGGAAAUGCAACCCCAGUAAAAUCAGGGAAUUAGGAGCUGUGUCGGAAAACAUAUCUGGACUCCAUUUCACAUAUUCUCUGAGAACCCUUCGUUUGGAUGUGAGGAAAUGGAUGUGUUUGAGAGAAAGGGCCACCAAGAGAGGAACAUCAGGGCACCAUGUCUGGGGCUUGAGGAUCUGAGCUCAAUUUUCACUUCUGAUAGAGCUUUCUUGACUCAGUGUGAACAGUUUACUUUUUCUUGUACUGCUUCUGCACUUGGAAAAUUGGACUACUCCUGAACAGAACUGUUGGAAGGCUACAUUAUUCUUGGUGGGGUGCUCAUACAUGGCACUCUGUGACUGCAAAAUACAGGCUUGUCAAGAUCUGAAUGACAAAAAGGAGCUUCAUUUUUUUGGUCUAUUACUUUCCCUUGCAUGGCAGAAUGAAUAUUGGUUACAUGAAGAUUUGAACAAUAUUAUGUGAAAGCAAAAAUAAGAAGGAAAAAAAGAAAUAUUCUGUCAAGAGAACUUUUCUGAGAUCUGAUCCCUCUUGCAAAUAAAAUUAAUUGUGGCAUGUAGUAAUACAUUAAUUUCCUUGUAAAAUAGCUGAGCCAGUUUUUAAUUGUCUGCUUACAAAGAUUUGCACUGAACUAGAACUGAUCUUCCUAUUAUUUUCCUUUCAAGAAAAUAUGCUGUACAUAUUUUCUUGACUGAGUGCCUACUACGUUUUGUAUUUUUUGUCAUAUGCUAGCAUCUGAUAUGUUUAGUUAAAUACUUUGUAGGUGUUACUGUUCCCUAGAAUGAAAGAUCUAGACUUUAGAGCAAAACAUAUUCCUUCUUCUGAUAUAAACCCUGUACUUUUUAAAAAGCAUGCAGUUUAAAAAAAAAAAAAACACCAAAAACAAACAUAUGUACCUUGAGUGCCAUUUCUGGGAGUGAAUUGUCACGUACUAUUGCUACAGUGUAGGAAAACAGCCACCAUUUUUGUGCUAAAUUUCAAGUGUAGCAAUAGAGUGACUAUUAAACCGACAGACAGACAAUGUAAAUCUAGAAGCAAGUAAUAUGUAUAUUUCAACCAUCUGGGCUUUUGCUCUUUUCAAUAUUUGUUUGCUAGUUCAUUCUCCUAUCUAUAAUCUAGAGGUUUAUGGCAAAGUAAACCUAUAAAUCCUAACAACCAUAUUUUCAUUUGGAAGCUGGACCAGCUGUCAAUAAACAUCGAAAGAACUGCUCAGUCU